AAGACUAUACUUUCAGGGAUCAUUUGUAUAGUUUGUAACUAGAGAGGUGUGGUUGAAAGUGUCUGACCUUGCUAACCAUGAUGAGGAGUUAAAGUGUUUUCUUCUGAGCAUGAUGUGAGUGGAUAGUGGUGCUUUAAUGUAUCUGCUAUUGAUGAGUGUUCUUGCUUUCCUUUUAGGAAGCUGAGGGGAAGAGAACACAGACUGAGUGGU